AUGAAGCUGCCUGCCACCCAGCCAAACUUUAGCGGCUUCUCGCUGGAUGUCCCGGGACCAAGCUCUUGCCAGGGAAUUCUGCAGCCCGGCUCUGUCAAUCUGAGUUGGGACGACAGCAGCUCAGUCAGCAGCGGGAUCAGUGACACCUUGGACACAGAUGACCUCAACACCAGCUCGUCCCUUAGCUCCUACGUCAACACCCCAUCUGUCCCACACAGAGACGUGGAUGAACAGGUCAGUCAUUGAAACCAGAGCCUCAUGGUCUACAGAAUCACAAACAUCUGCAGAAGUUGACAUGAGAAACAACUUCAAAACAUGAUUCAGGUUUUAUUUAUAGAAAUUAUUUUCACAAAAUAAAUUAAAAUAGUUGUAUUAUUUUAUCUGAUUGUCUAUGUCGUUAUUUUAAAUAGGUAAUAAUUCAUAUUUAUAUUAUGGAUUUUCAUGUGUUGAGAUUGAAAUUGUUAAGAGUCCGAAAUUUUUUGUAUGCAUUUGUAUUUUUUUUUUUUCGUAUUCGUCAUCCUUUCCUAUCAAAAUGCUUGCUAUUGAUGUGAAAACACAGAAAAUCAAACCUGGUAAGAUUUUAAAUUUUUUUUUAUGACGGACUAAAGUUUCUGAGGUUUGUAAGCGUGAUUAACACAAUGCGAGUUCGUAUUUAUUUUUUAAUGUACGAAAAUUUCGGACGAUAAUUGGGACCGCUAUAAAACAAUAAGAAAUCUUUCUAAUAUUAUUUGAAUAUAAAAUAUCAUUAGUGGCCAGUAUAAAUUUUAAAAAGUUUUUCACAAAAAUAUUGGUUAAUUUAGUACUUGUCGAUAGCAUAAAUGAUGUAUGCAUUGUUAACUUUUUUAGACCUUUAUAUAAAAGCUCUAUAUUUAUCUUAAAUUUGUUCAUUUGAAUACAAAUCAAGACUUUGGGGCAUAAAAGUUGCCUGACUUUGAAGAAACACCCAUGUAAAGAAACAGGGAAAUGUAGUAGCCUUAUAAAUAUCUCACUGAACUGUUAAAAAGGCCCUUAAUUUGAUUCGUCAUCUCUGGUUAUAAUUAUAUGCAAUCAAAAACAGACCUGCACAUUUACAGAACUGCUUUGGGAGCAGUUCUGUUGCUUCAUUGUCCCUUUUGAUUCAAUGAAACAUUGGUGGGCCUUUAUCAGAACUGGCCUGUGCAGUCUCUGUGAGUGUGAGUCAGCGGACUGACUCAACUGUGCCCCAGUGAUUGAUCAUCUUUACAAGCUCAAAGCAGGUUAACAUAUGCUGAGCAAAUGGGCCAGUACAGUGAUGCAAACAUGGAGCGUCUGUCUCGCCUGUUCUUGCAAGAUGAGCGCUUUAAAUCCAGAUGUGGCACACUGAGUUGUGUGCCAGUAACUUUAUCCAAACCUGUGGCUUAUUGGUUUGUGCAUUGGUGUUAGUUUUUAAAAGUGAAAUCCAUGACCUUAUUUAUAUUCAGUGUUCCAUAUUUAUCUCCACAGUUUUUUUUUUUUUUUUUUAGAUUUUUAUGUUUUGAAUUAGAUUCUUACAUUUUGAAAUGUCAUGCCAAAUAUUGGCUCAUUUUGGAGUUUGAAGAGUUUGAUGAGUUUGAAGUUAGCAUCAUCUACAGUGCAUAAUAUCAUCCAAAGAUUCAGAGAAUCUGGAACAAUCUCGGAAAACCAUACUGGAUGCCCGUGAUCUUUGGGCUCUUAGACGGCACUGCAUCACAUACAAGAAUGAUACUGUAAUGGAAAUCACAACAUGGGCUCAGGAAUACUUCCAGAAAACAUUGUCGGUGAACACAAUCCACCGUGUCAUUCGCUGUUGCCGGCUUGAACUCUAUAGGUUAAAAAAGAAGCCAGAUCUAAACAUGAUCCAGAAGCGCAGGUGUUUUCUCUGGGCCAAGGCUCAUUUAAAAUCGACUGUGGCAAAGUGGAAAACUGUUCUAUGGUCAGACGAAUCAAAAUUUGAAGUUCUUUUUUGAAAACUGGGAUGCCAUGUCAUCCGGACUAAAUAGGACAAGGACAACCCAUGAGAGCAUGCGGCAUGGGCAGCUUUACACAUCAAGGGAAGACCUUGCAUUUUCCAACAUGACAAUGCCAGACCACAUACUGCAUCAAUUACAUUAACAUCAUGGCUGCAUCGAAGAAGGGUCCGUGUACUGAAAUAGCCAGCCUGCAGACCAGAUCUUUCACCCAUAGAAGACAUUUGGUGCAUCAUAAAGAGGAAGGUGCGACAAAGAAGACCUAAGACAGUUGAGCAACUAGAAGCCUAUAUUAGACAAGAAUGGGACAAGAUUCCUAUUCCUAAAAUUGAACAACUUGUCUCCUCAGUCCCCAGACGUUUGCAGACUGUUAUAAAAAGAAGAGGGAAUGCCACACAGUGGUAAACAUGGCCUUGUCCCAACUUUUUUUUGAGAUGUGUUGAUGCCAUGAAAUUUAAAAUCAACUUAUUUUCCCCUUAAAAUUAUACGUUUUCUCAGUUUAAAUAUUUGAUGUCAUCUAUGUUAUAUUCUGAAUGAAAUAUUGAAAUUUGAAACUUCCACAUCAUUGCAUUCGGUUUUUAUUCACAAUUUUGUACGGUGUCCCAACUUUUUUGGAAUCGGGUUUUUACUACAACAAUUUAAACUAUAUGGAAAAAAUCUUACUUCGGCUAGCUGAAAUUAGAUACGUUUGUUAUUUUUUUAUUACAUUUUUUAAGUUAACAUUUGUUUUAUUUCAAGUAACAUAGAUCUUUUUCAACUCUAAUGGCCAUAAACAUUAUUUCAAAUUCAAAGAGAUUAGUGCCAUGACCCAAAAGUGCAUCCGAAGCCAAAAAUCUGCCAGCUUUCACUUCCACACCCUUGUACUUUUUCCCUGUAUAGUCUCCCCUCAUUUUUCGGGCCGGAGUGGAGGAAGGAUUUAUUGUAUCGAUGUUGAGAUAACAAUGUUUUGGAAUUGGCCUGAUAACAACUGGAGGCUAUUAACAUUCUUUCCCUGGCAGUAAUUUUCAUGAGGAUUUUCAGUAGCAGCUGAACAACAGCUUUCUAAAAGGGGGUGAUGUCAUCUUGGAUACAUACAUUACAAUGUCAUGUAAUGGACCAGUUGGCUCUUUUAUCGCAUAAUCCGAUUUUCUGAUGGCUGUUGAUGGUGUCGCUUUAUAAAUGAGUUGCAAAUUAGCUGUCGUUGAGGAUAUUGUAUCUCAGUCAUUAAAUACAUUUAAUUAUAUAUUUGUGCAUAUAAGUCCAGAGUCCUUUUCUUUAUAUAAUUUUUUUUAAUGCAAAGGACUCUAAAAUAUGAUGACUCGGGUAUAUAGGCAGGUAUAUAUUUAUAUAAUAUACAGUAUUUAUAUUUUUAUAUUUAUGUAACAACUCAUUUAUACUCUGCUCACAAGCCAUCUGGCAGCACCUUUAUAAAAAAAAAAAUAUAUAUAUAUAUAUAUAUAUAUAUAAUUAUUUCCCUUUUUUUUGCAAAACUAUAUGCAUGAAAAUUAAUUCAAUUCAUCUUAUAAUUUCUGACCAGUUUUUAGAAAGCGGAAUGAAAUCCUAAUAUAAUUUAAUAUUAUAUAGGAUUAUUAUUAAAAUAACUAUGUUAAAAAUAUUUUAUCUAUCUUUAUUUCAUAAAAAUUCUGGCACCCCCAAUUUUAACACGCACCAAUUGACAGUUUUACUUAUUUGCAAAAAACAUAGAAAUCCAUUUUACAUUGCUUUCAGAGUUCAGAAAAAUUUAUUUGCAGUUAAUAA
ensembl:lncRNA